CCCACAUGGUGGGCACGGGGCUGGGAGUGGGCGCUCCCGGCUCAAAAAGAAAGAGCCAGGCCAAAUGGACUCUCUCCUUUAGGAGCUUGGAGAAGAAAAUAUGGAAGGAAUGUGUGGGGAACGAUGGUGAAACAUGAAGCUGCAGGGAGAGGUCGAGGCCAGCUGUCAGGGAGGCAGAGCCGAGGCGACUGGGUGGCGCGGCCAUGAGGCAGGAGAAGAGGAUGCGGUUCUCAAAGCAUGGGCCAGGGACCCCUGGAGGUUCUCUGAGGUUGUUGUGGGCGUCUGGGAGGUAAGGCGACCAUGAUGGUGGCCUGUUGCGGGUGCAGGGCUCUCCCGGGAUCACGUGCCGAGCCACAGCAGGGCGGCCAGACCUCGCAGAGACUCGCACGUGGCCCUUCCCACUCACGUGUCACGGGGGUUUCACUUCUGCCGUGGAGCCUGACGGAGCACAGCCUUCCCCUCGGAAGCUGUUGGGGGUCCUCACUAGGUCAUCAAGGGUCGCAGGGUCCCAGGGCGGAACUGAGAACCGCUGUGGACACCCACACAGAUGGAGGGCCGCCCCGCCGGCCUCAUGGAUUCUCGGGGGGGUAAGGUGUGUCUCUUCCUGUGGGCUCCCCCUCCCCUCCCCGUGUGUCAACUGCUUUGCGCAGAAGCCGCAGGCUGGUUCCCGGGAAAGGAUCAAGGACAAGGGUGUGCUGGUGGACACCAGGGCCCUCGGGAAGGCAGGGUGGGGCAGGAGGAGAGGAGAGGUUGUGGUUCACGAGACCCGGGGGCUGGGUCAGGACCCUGAGGGGGAGAGGAGCCGGGGAUGUGCCCAGCCGGACCCUGCGUCUCCGCCCCCGCCCUUUCUUGGAGGCUCUGUGUUCUGGGCUUCUCUUGAAGCUGUAGUGAUAGUGGACGGCCUUGCGAAGCCGAGAGCCUGGGAAAUGCUAGUUUUUGACGUGUGGGGCCCAGCCCGUGCUCAGAGAGAGCUGCUGGGAGAGUGGUCCCUAACCGCUAGCCCCCGGCGGGACACGGCACGCCCACAGUGAGCACCACAUGGCUCACAGGCCUGGAUGGUCUCUGUGUGUGUGCUGACCAGCCUGGGGCAUCAGGGCCGCAGGCACUGGGGUACUGACCCAAACUGGCAUUGCUAGCCUCAUCCUGGAGGACGCCCCGGCCUUGAGGAGGGAGGCCCCGGCGAUGGUCGACAGGCUUGUGGAGGUGGGAGUCUCUCCAGCUCUGGCCUCUGGCCUUUGACAGAGAGCAGUCAGAUGGAAGCUGCCAGGGGCUGGUCCGCAUGACUGACGGGAAAGAGCUGGGGGCGGCCUUGGAGGGUGCACCCUCCCUGGGCAGGGAUGUGCCCCUGGUCCCGGGGCUCAGACACCCUAGGCUCUAAGGGGAUGGUGAUGUCAGGGGCUCUCCGGGGGCACUUGCAGAAGGGGAAUGGAAAACCCUGGGCCUGAAGCUUCCGGAACCUCUGCUGCUGUAGGAGCUCCCGGCCCCUCCCGGGCCACGUGCCUGGCGGACCGCUCUCCCUCUCGCAGCUGGCUGCCCCUCCAGGCCUGGACUCGAGCUACAGAGAGGGGCAGGAUUCCAGGCGGACGGAGCCAAGGGUUCCCUGGACCAACUGGAGUUGCCUCUGGCCAACUGGGAUGGGAUUCCAGCAAAACUUCCUGCCGUCCCAGCCACCUUGGCCACACUGCCCCCCGGCCUCCUCCGAGCAGGGCUGGGGUGGGAGGUGCCAGGAAGACCUCCCCUGCCAAGAGCAAGAGGGGCAGAGAGGACACCUGGGCAUGCGGUCAAGGAUCAAGAUGGGACAGACAGCCAAGGUCACAGCAGGGUCAUACCAAGGUCACACCAGGGCAGGGGAGGCAUCGCUAUUUGCUCAUCUCUGAGAUGGGGAUAAAAAUCCGACUCCGUGAAAUUCUCAUGAACAGCACUAAACCCAUGACAUGUUAACAUUAGUAACAUUUUCUAGAAGAAUAACUAUAUUCUCAAAAAAAACAGUAAGAAGAAUAGCAUUGUUUUACAUCUUUGCAAAUGUUCCUAAUGUUUGGGCUUAAAAUAAAGUAACUGGGAGGAAGGAAGCAGGCUGAGCCCUGGAGACAAGGCGCUCUCCUGGAGAGGCAGGCAUGCAGCUCCCUGGACUGCGGGCCUGGGGUCCCCCGCUGGGCCCACUCUGCGUCCCCAGCACCCAGCUCGGGAGCUCCUCUGGGAGGGCUGGUGGGCUCAGCGACCGACCCGACAUUUGGCACGUCUGCACGGCGCCCAUCUCUCCGGUUCAAACACACACCAGCACACCACAGCCCCCGCCGCGCCAGGAACAGAGGCCAAGGGUGUCGAGCUGGCUGAGCGGGACUGCACCCCUUCUCCGUGUGGCCCCGGCAUGGAGUCGGCCCCAUGGGGAGCUGGUGUGCGGUGCAGAGGGUGGGGGGGAGCCCGGCGGCCGGGGCUCUCGGAGGGUUUGUCAGUCCCCAGCAUCAGGCGCUGGGCUCGCCUCCCCGGGGGCAGCUUUGCGGGGACGAGGCCCUCCCUGCGCUUCCUCUGCGGCUCCGGCUUCCACGGGAGCUCCAGGGGUCCACCCGCACCUGCACCUCAAGGCAGCUGGCCUGUCUCCUGGGGCAGCUCGCCGACAGGCAGCCGAAGUCAGGACCGGCUGUCCCGGGGCCGCUCUCCCGCUGAGACGCUCGGGGAGGAGGUGCCCCCUUCGGCUUGUGGCCGCAGCCCUCCGGGCCUGACGUGACCUCCCCGCUGCGUACAUGUCCGUGUCCCAAUCUCCCCUUUUUGGAAGGACACCAGUCAUGCUGGAUUAGGUCCUCGUGACCUCAUUAGACCUGGAUGACCUCUGUCAAGACACUGUCCCCAGAUAAGAUCCCGAUCCACAGAUGACCAGCUGGUUGGUGAUUUCCUGGGACCCCCGAAGCCCCUUGCCUGCUCUUCCCUCCCCUCCCCUUCAAGGGCUCAUAGUUUCAGUCCCUGCAUGGGGUCCCCAUCCGUGCAUGGCGGUCCCGUUUCCCCGACGCAGCCCUGGCUGUGUGGUCCAGGGCAAGUGGCCACCUCUCUGUGCCUCGGUUGUCUGAUCUGGGAAGUGGGGCCGGACCCUGCUCCCAGGCAGCACAACACCCAGCGAGUGCUCCGUGCACAGAGCAGGCACCCAGGAUCUCCAGGCUCUAGAACUUCCGUUCAUGCUCCCCCAGCGUCUGGACCCAGAGCUUCCCGGCACCCGUGCAGUCCAGACUGCAUGAAGUCCUGGCUGGCACCGCACGUCACCAAGUGUUGAAAGGGCUUUGGAUCACCUUUCCCCCGGAAGGUAUUUGGUCAACUUCUCUCUCGCCAGGACGAACGUUUCUCACCCGGCCACGUGGAAGGUGGCAGGGGGCUUCCCAAGUCACUGGAGUGGGCCACUGAGCGUGACUCAACGGGAUACGUGCCGACGGCGACGGCAGCCAGCGCCCGUGGGACUUGGCCGCAGUGUCGCGGUGGCUUUCUGUCCGUCUGUCUUCUCCUCGAGCCUGUGCUGAGGCCAUGAUUCAGGCCUGCACCUCACGGAUGGGGAAACUGAGGUCCAGAGAGCACGUUUGCUGUUCCACUCGCUGUCGUGGCCACGCGGGCUGCUUCCCGCUCCCGGUACUGUGCUGCUCUGAAUAACGUUGAUAUUCAAAGCAGGCCUUUGCUGCCCGCUCUCUCUGAAGACCUGUUUGGGGGGACCAGAGAGGGGAGGACCGAGGCAUCCUGUGGUUCUCCCUGGGGAAGAGCGGUAAGGCCUGGGGCUGGUCCUCGAAAGCCCCCACCCCGUCCUGCAGCUGUUGGAUCGACCUCCUUCCCUUAGCGGCGGGCGCCUGCCCCGCCAUCAUUAGUGGGGUCCUGGGGAGACGCCAGCUGUGUCCUCGGUCCUGUGUGGUGAUGGCAAGUAGGACGGUGACAGGGGCUGAUGGCUCUGCGACCUUGGGCUGGGCAAAGAUCGUUUCAGUAUGACACCAAAAUCAUGACCCAUGACAAGAGAAAGUUGAUAAAUUGACUUUAUCAAAAGUAAAACCCUUCAGUUUUCCAAACGAUGCUGUAGGGACAAGAAGCAAGUUACAGCCCGGAACAAAAUCUUGGCAAACCACGUGUAUCCAGAAUAUAUAAAACUUCUCAAAACUUGAUAAUAAAAAUGCAAACAACCCAAGAAUAAGGGAAGAUAAACAGGUGGCCAAUAAGCACAUGGAAAGAUGCUCAACGUCAUUGGCCAUUUGGGAAAUAAUGAGACAGAAGGGCUAAAAUUAAGACGGGUCACACCGAGCGCUGGCGAAGACGCGGAGACGCACUUAUAUGGUACUGGUGGGAAUGUUAAGAGAAACACGCUGGGAAAUGGUUUGGCAGUUUUUAGAAAACUUACCCCUACACCUGCCACGUGACUCCGCUCUUCACCCAGGAGGAACGUGGACACAGCAACUACAGACUUGUUCACGAACGCUCACACCUUAUUUGUGACGGUCCAAAUACCUGAGUACCUGUCAGGGGUGGGUAUAGACAGUGUCCUCAUGCGUCCGUUUCUUGGCUUGUACUCAGCGGCGUGACGGACAAACUCAGAGUAAGUUUCUGGACUGAGGGAAGUCAGGUUUCGAAGGACAUGAGGCUGCUGGUAUCGACCCCAGAAGUGCAGCCUGAUGGAGAUACUCCAUGUUUUAUCGUGCGGACGGCUUCGCAGACGUGUAUGUGUACAAAUACUGUAUUCACACAACGCAGGGCACGUCCCGACUUUAUACUUCCAAUAUGUGUGGUUUAUUGUAUAAUUGUUACCCCACCGAGUUGUUUUUAAAAGAGAUAAUAAAUACU